rnacentral:lncRNA from 1 species
UGUAAUGAAUGAUCGUGUUAAAGGUCUAUUGAAGAUCACUUUCACUUUUGAAAGUGUGUUUGUGUUCACCUGUUUUUGGUUAUGAAUGUUAUUACCUGAGUGAUGAUUUUUUUGUGUGAGUUUUGGCUGUGGACUAAGUGUGUUCAAGAACUUAUAUGCUAGUGUAUUUUAAUUUUUGUUUUCAGUUUCAUGCUUAAAGCUUUGGGUUGAAUUUUG